GUUUCAGAGGACCCUUGUGGGGUUGAAGC
rnacentral:other from 1 species